UUGCUGAUGGCCCACCCCUGGCUUGGUGCGGCUACCACUGUCCAACACCAAGCGCCAAGCUGCUCGCUCAGCCGUACCCGCGAACUGGCCGCCUGGCCGGCCGCUAUGGGCUCCACUUCGUCGACGGCGCUGGGUUGGCCGCCGGCAACCGCAGAUGACUGCAUCCCACCAAAGAAGAGGAAGACUUGGUGCAGUGUCCAGCAACCUGUGCAGAAUCAUGACAGGAUCAGCACACUACCAGAUGACAUUUUGAUCAAAAUUCUUUCGCUAAUGACAGUAAAGGAGGCUGCAGUUACUGCUUGUCUGUCCACCAGAUGGAGACACCUCUGGAAAAACGUUGACCGUCUCAUCCUUGACGUGCAUACUUUUGGAAUGCAAAUGCCAGAAAAUACAAAUAAUAACGAAAAUCCUGAUUUCUGGAAUCAAGAAGCUACAAAGUUUGUGACUAAAGUAAAUGAAGUUUUGCGCCAUCAUAAUGGUAAUGGAAUCAAGAAAGUCGAAGUCAACUUCCCAUUAUCCUCGUCCCAUGCUUCGGACCUUGAUCGCUGGGUUGCAUUCACAGCUGCAUCUGGUUCAAGAACACUUAACCUUAUCCUUUCUGGCCAUCAUGGCAUUAUUGCCACACCAGAUGCAGAGCGAUACAGCUUCCCUUUGAAGCAUUUUGUUGAUUUGAGAGGUUGCCAAUUGCGCAUAUUGCUUCUAUCCAUGUGCAGUUUAGAAUCAGUGUCUGCAAAACUCAGUGGCUUUUCUUAUCUACAUUGCCUUUCACUUCACCGUGUAUCAGUGGUUGAUUCAGUUGUUCUGAAUAUUAUGUCCAGUUGUCGUGCUCUCCACCACUUUAGCCUGCAAAGAUGCCAUCAGUUGAUUACUAUGAGAACCUCUCAUGCAGAAUUGGUGUAUCUGGAAGUUCGUAAUUGUAAGAGCUUAAUUAGUAUUAGCAUUCAUGCUGAAAGGCUGGAGUGUUUCUCAUACAAGGGUCAUAAGGUAGAUAUUGAGUAUGAAUGUGCACCAAUUCUUCACAGACUUCAUGUUUUUUUUGUGAAGAAUAAUGAAUGCCCUUUAGACUUCUUGGGUGCUCUCCAUAAGCUCAGAUCACUGACCUUACAGUUUCCCACAUGUUUACAGGUAUCUCGUGUACUGCAACACAGUAAAAUAUUUGCUGGUUUGAAGAAGAUCGUGCUGUGUCUCUUGACAUCUUGGAAAACGAGCAUCUGUUCGGUGGCUUAUCUCCUUAAAGCUGCCCCCCUAGUUGAAAUACUUGUUCUUCAGGUAUAUAAGUUGCGCUUGCUAAUUGACUGGGUCAAAACUGCCAGAUUUGGAGAGAGAAAAAUUCUGAGUCCCAUGAUGGUUUAUAUUAUCUGGUUUUUUUUUUGGGGGGGGGGGGGGGGGCAAAUAUAAUUCCACCUUUAAACAGCAUAUCUUUCGUACAAAAUUUGGUGGUCUCUAAGAGUAUGGGGAAAGAGCAGAUCCAGGCCCUGAAAAUGUUCGUAUUCUGCUAGUUUCAUCGUUUAUGGGAAUCUGCAGCCACCGAGGAAGCAGAAAGUUAUAUGGCCCAAGAAAUGUACCUUUAGAAGGCUCCGCAGUAUCUAUAUCGGAGGGUUUAGCGGGGAACCGGAAUUGAUGGGUCUCAAGUCCUUUCUGCUAAAGAGGUCACCAAUGCUGAAGAAACUGGUUAUUGACACACAUCCACACAAGUACAAAGGCUUCAGCAAAUGGAAGAGGGAGAAGUCUGAAGAUGCCACGAGGUGCAAUUAUGCGAGGGGGGUGGCUUUGACACACUUGCCCCAUGAGAUUCCAUCUACCGUGAAGUUUAGAGUUAUAUGACUUGCACGAUUACAGACAAGAAUGUCAUGGACAAGUCCUUGUCAUAAAUAUUUUGCUAUGACUCGGGUACUGGUGGCAACUGAAUGUAGUGAAGAGAUGCAGAUGCAAAGCAGUAAACUGAACUCUAUAGUUUGGAAUGCCGUAGCAGGCUGUGCCGAUGGCUUUAAGCCUUUAACGGGGUCCCUUGCCUUUUGUGGUGUGUUGGCUAUAUCGUGUGGAUGAGUUAGUCUGGAGGUGGACUUUGCUGUGCUGCUCAAAGUACUCGUAGAUGGUGAAACUAAUGUGAAAGCAAUUCCCAUUACCUAUCUAUAAUAGCUAAUGUGCAUUCCAAAUGUCUGUUUGUAAUGAAGGAAUAUCUGAGUAUUUCUGUACUUUUGUUGUUGCAGAUGUGGUAUCCAUUUUAGGACA